CAGAGGGUGCAAGCGUUAAUCGGAAUUACUGGGCGUAAAGCGCGCGUAGGUGGUUCGUUAAGUUGGAUGUGAAAUCCCCGGGCUCAACCUGGGAACUGCAUUCAAAACUGUCGAGCUAGAGUAUGGUAGAGGGUGGUGGAAUUUCCUGUGUAGCGGUGAAAUGCGUAGAUAUAGGAAGGAACACCAGUGGCGAAGGCGACCACCUGGACUGAUACUGACACUGAGGUGCGAAAGCGUGGGGGAGCAAAACAGGAUU
rnacentral:rRNA from 1 species